AUUAAAUUUUAUUAUGAUUUAUUAAUUAAUUAAAUUUAUAUAUUAUAUAAAAUAAUUUUAUUAUUAGAAAUUUAAAUUUUAAUUAAUAAUUAAUUUUAAAAAAUUAAUGAAAGUUAAAUUUAGGAAAUAAUUUUAGUAAAGAUAAAUUUAGUGCCAGCAAUAGCGGUUAAACUAAUUUUGUAAAUUAAUUUUAACAAUAAUUAUAAAUGAUGAAUAUUUAUAAUAUUAAUUUAAUUAAAUUUAUAAAUUUUAGGUGAAAUUUUAAUUUAUAAAUAUAGUUAAAUUUUAUAUUUAAGUAUAUAGUAAGAUAAUUUAAUAGACUAGGAUUAGAUACCCUAUUAUUUAAAAUAGUAAAUUAAAUAUUUAUGAUUAAAUGUUGAAUCAUUAAAAUUAAAUAAUAUGGCGGCUUUUCAUUCUUAUUAGAGAAACUUGUAAUUUAAUUUGAUAGUCCACGAUAGGAUUAACUUAAAUUUUUAUACUUAUGUAUUGUUGUUUUCAUUUUUUAAAAAAAUUUAUAUUGUAAGUAAUAUUAGAUAUAUAAUAAUAAUUCAAAUCAAAAUGUAGUAUAUUUAAGAAUAUAUGAGUUAUAAUUAAUUAAAUUAUUGGAUAAUUAAUUUUAAUAUUAAUUUGAAAGAGGAUUUAAUAGUAAAUUUAGUGAAUUAACUAAAUUGAAAAUAGUUUUGAAAAGUGUACAAAUUGCCCGUCAAUUUCAUUUUAAGGAAUAAGUCGUAACAUAGUAAAAAUAUUGGAAAAUGUUUUUAGAUAAAA
rnacentral:ncRNA from 1 species